rnacentral:rRNA from 1 species
AGUGAACGCUGGCGGUAGGCCUGACACAUGCAAGUCGAACGGCAGCACAGUAAGAGCUUGCUCUUACGGGUGGCGAGUGGCGGACGGGUGAGGAAUACAUCGGAAUCUACUUUUUCGUGGGGGAUAACGUAGGGAAACUUACGCUAAUACCGCAUACGACCUACGGGUGAAAGCAGGGGAUCUUCGGACCUUGCGCGAUUGAAUGAGCCGAUGUCGGAUUAGCUAGUUGGCGGGGUAAAGGCCCACCAAGGCGACGAUCCGUAGCUGGUCUGAGAGGAUGAUCAGCCACACUGGAACUGAGACACGGUCCAGACUCCUACGGGAGGCAGCAGUGGGGAAUAUUGGACAAUGGGCGCAAGCCUGAUCCAGCCAUACCGCGUGGGUGAAGAAGGCCUUCGGGUUGUAAAGCCCUUUUGUGGGGAAAGAAAAGCAGCAGGUUAAUACCCCGCUGUUCUGACGGUACCCAAAGAAUAAGCACCGGCUAACUUCGUG